UUUUGAAAUAAUAGAAGCUGAGAAUCUUGGGCCUCAUAUAGAUUGUACACCAUCGGUCUCUUCCCUUGGGAUGGGAGAAAAAGAAACAGCUGUUAAUAGAAUCACGAUCCAGUCUAUAGAAAAAAAAUGGCAGAAUUAACCACAGGAUUUUAGAACUGGGAGGGGAUCGAUUCAUCCAACCAACUUUACAAUGAGGAAACUAAAAUCUAGUGAAGUUAGAUGACUUGUCUAUGACCACACAGCGAGAAAUGAUAGAUGGAAAGUUCACCCCAUUAUCCUGCAGCUGCUUCCUCUUCCCAGUGGUCAUUUUUCCAGAGUGACUCAUCCAAGGAUGUCCAUGACUGAGCAGUUGUGUGAAUUUUCACUGCUGAUCCACCACAGCCAUUUUCCCUAUUUUGGGUAAGGAUUUGAAACAGUGAGAUGCGGAAUGUUGACCUGCUUUUGUUGCAGGAGGUGAUUGAGCUAUUGUUAUAAUUAGUCUGUAAACAAUAAAAAGGAAAAAG